UAUUGACCCAUCUUGUAAGAGAGGAUCCAGAGAUAUCUUAAGCUAAUUUCACCUUGUACACCACAGAAAAUUGUUAAAAUGAUGUUCCAGACAUAUCAUUACUUUUAAAUAUGAGAUGACAAACUAAAGGUUUUAAAAGGUCCUGAAUAACUGAAAUGGACAAAUAUACACAGAUUUAUUCAGAAUGUCAUACCGAUGAAGAUCGCCUAAAAAUAUUUGGAAAAAUCAGAACUAUGGAUUUCAAUAUGGGACAAUACCCCUAAUGCGCCUUGAAAUGAGGAACACAAAAGUCACGUGUAAACAAAAAAUCUCUGUGUAGUGAUAUUUGACACAUUGCUAUGAUAAACAAAUGACUGAGCUGAACCAUUAGUGUUAAUUUAGAAAAUAAGGGAACACAGAAUAAAUGUGUAAAAACCAUGGAGCUAUGAAAUGUGUUCAAAGUAUUAAAAUUUCAAAGAACUUAUUGUGUUAAAAUUGGAUUUUUUACCAUGAGGAGCGACAUCGCAAAAGGAUACUCGGGGUUUGCUAAAUUACGGAAAAAUGAAUCACACUUCGUACCCCGAAAAUUUAACCACAUAUGUAAAAAUGUCUCAGCUUCGAAACAAGCCAUCAUACAUAUACAAGUUUACGAUAUGGGCUGAGCAACAGAAGAAAACGUUAUCAUUACGGCCUAUGGAAUAACAAUUGCGCAUAUUGACCCAUCUUGUAAGAGAGGAUCCAGAGAUAUCUUAAGCUAAUUUCACCUUGUACACCACAGAAAAUUGUUAAAAUGAUGUUCCAGACAUAUCAUUACUUUUAAAUAUGAGAUGACAAACUAAAGGUUUUAAAAGGUCCUGAAUAACUGAAAUGGACAAAUAUACACAGAUUUAUUCAGAAUGUCAUACCGAUGAAGAUCGCCUAAAAAUAUUUGGAAAAAUCAGAACUAUGGAUUUCAAUAUGGG